CCCCCCCCCCCCAAACCAUCCACCCCAUCCUUGCUGAAGACCCUUCUUAAAUCUUAGCUCUCGUUCACUGGGAGUCAUUGUUUGAGUUUUGGGAGUAUUAGUGUGUGAGAGAGUGUGUAUGUGAGAGGGUGUGGUGUGAGUGUGUGUGUAUACAUACAUUUUGUCUUCUGCCUUUUCAGCUCCACAGUUACACUGCACACCUCCUGAAAGUUGAGCCUGUGUCUUGAACUUUUUCUCUCUCACAACGUCUAACACAGUACGCCAUGAGUAAAUACUUGUGACUAUUGUCCUGUACACCCUCGCCAACUCUGAAAUUUCGGAAUUCCUAGAGGACAACAAAAAUAGAAGACAGGACAUUCUGAACUGUUUUUGACAGACCGCGUCUAUGCCUCUGUUCUCCUUAGUCCUUCAGAGCUGCUGCUGGAGUAGAAACAUGGGAAACAGAGUGAUUGGGCAAGGUGAUGUAGGAGCUUAUGAAUGACUUUAGGUUCAGAAAGAUAAGGACAGUAAUCUGAAGAUACCGAGGUAAACCGUAAGCUUUGAGCAAUACAUCCAAACAGAAUAUAGGGGUUGAAAGGGAAUAACACAUUUAGUCAGCUCACAGGAUUUUAGGAGAAGUGUGGCAGAUUUAGUUUCUAUCCGUGAGCAAAAAGAUUCUGGUAAGUCUUGUCAAAUGUGCCAUUUCUCGCUAAUUCCAUGUCUCUCACUACUAGAAAAAGGUGGCGACUGUUAUCCUGCCAGGGUUCUUUCCAGCCCAUUUGUAUUGAGAUAGAAAUCUCCUUGUCUCUGAAGUUCCCUAAUCACGCUAAAUCCUGACCGUGUCAUUCCUCACGCUGUAUCAUCCCCCCUUCCGCUGUGAAUGCUACUAAUUGCUCCCAAAGGUUCUCACUGUGCUUCAUUGGUGAUGAGCACACGUAUAAGAAAAUGUAAACCAUUAUUGUACUUAAAUUCAGUUUUCUAUUUUUC